CAGCCUCCACCUGGUUUCUUGGAACACAUUUUCUUGGAGAAGCCAGACAACUUGGUAAAAUUCUGACUACCCUGAGACCACCAUGCUGUGAAGAAGUCCAAGCUGGCUGCAUGGGGAGAGAUGCCCAGUCAGUCACCAGCUGCUCCAGGCAUCCACCUGAAGCACCAGACAUGAGAGUGAAAAAGCAGAUUUGACUGAGGAGUGUUAGUGAAUGCUUACCAAAUUGCCUCAGCAUCAGAGUCAGCCACAAAGUUUAAAAUCUGCGGGAAAUCUCAAGACCAGGGGAGAGGGUCCCCAGAGGACCCCAGUGUGCAGCCCACUGUGGGAACCAUGGACUUGGCCAUACGAAGGCUUGUAGGAAAGUCAUACCUCCCGAGCCAGAAAGCCAAGUGUUUUAGACCGUGGACUCACAGCCCUGUCUCACAGCUACCACCUGUGCCUGGGAAAAGCUGCCUUCUCAUCCCACACACUACCUCGUCAGGUCCACUGGCCAUAUGGUGGAUGCAGGACCAUCCCCGUAGUACCAUCUUGUCAGCACCAGCUUACCAUAUAAUAGCCAAGUGGCCACCAGUAGCUCCACUUAUAUCUCCACUAUCAACAAUCCAAGCCCAAUGUAAUUCCUAACAGAUGCACCAUCUUUCCAGUCAAAUAGAGAACCUCAGACUUUCUUCAUCAUCUCCCACAGUGUUACUCACCAUUACUGAUCAAUCGCCAAGCACUGUUGAUUUUUUCUCUGGAGAGAAAACUAAAAGCAACAGGAAGCCAGAUCUUUUUAAAGUUAAUUUUUAUUGAGUUUAUGAUAGUUUACAAUCUUGUGAAAUUUCAGUUGUACAUCAUUGUUUGUCAGUCGUGUUGUAGGCGCACCCCUUCACCCUUUGUGCCCACCCCCCACCCCCCCUUACCCUGGUAGCCACUAAUCUGUUCUCUGUGUCUACGUGUUUAAAUUCCUCAUAUGAGUGGAGUCAUACAGAGAUUGUCCUUCUCUAUCUGGAGGAAGCCAGAUUUUCGGUGGAACGUGAACAGUGAAAACUGUCAAGUCCUGUCAGCUAUGCCUGGUGAUGUUCUAUGACAGGUCAAAAAUGUACUUGGUGGGAGGUUAUAAAGCGACAAGCUCAAAUCUUAGAAGGGUAAUUAGUUAUGUUAGGGUUGCUAGAAAAUUUUAAGGUCCCUUCUAUCUUUGAAAUGCUAAAAUAAUUCAAUUAAAAUCACCAGGCAUAGCUUCUAGCCAUAUAAAACAGAGCAAAAUGUCGUUACUUAUAGCCCCAACUGCCUUGUAAAGAGAGGGGAUCUUCUGAGGGGAAGCUCUUUGCCCUGCUCGUGCUGUGCUCGCUCAGGAGCAGAAGCUGAAGCAGCUAGUGAUGCUGCUGAACCAAGGGGAAGAAUCUGGAGAGAAGGGCGCGGGAGGAGAGAGGCGGCAGUGAAGCUGCGGGAAAGGCGGGUCCAGGAGGAAGCUUGGGUGGCUGAGUGUCUGGAAAAUCCUUUGAAGAAAAGGGAUUAAGACAUGGAGGAUUAAAUUGUUUGUUAUGCGAUUCCUUAGGCAAUGUCUCCCAAGCUCUUUAGUAUCAUCAUACAAUUUAUUUUGUGUGAAGAUAACUUUUAAACUAUAGCAAGGAUAGAAUUUCUU
rnacentral:lncRNA from 1 species